rnacentral:rRNA from 1 species
UGCCAGACUCCUACGGGAGGCAGCAGUGGGGGAUAUUGCACAAUGGGGGGAACCCUGGUGCAGCGACGCCGCGUGGGUGAAGGAGUGCUUCGGCAUGUAAAGCCCUAUCGGCAGGGAAGAAGCAAGACGGUACCUGACUAAGAAGCCCCGGCUAACUACGUGCCAGCAGCCGCGGUAAUACGUAGGGGGCGAGCGUUAUCCGGAUUUACUGGGUGUAAAGGGAGCGUAGACGGCAAGGCAAGUCUGGAGUGAAAGCCCGUGGCCCAACCACGGGACUGCUUUGGAAACUGUGUUGCUGGAGUGCAGGAGGGGUAAGCGGAAUUCCUAGUGUAGCGGUGAAAUGCGUAGAUAUUAGGAGGAACACCGGUGGCGAAGGCGGCUUACUGGACUGUAACUGACGUUGAGGCUCGAAGGCGUGGGGAGCAAACAGGAUUAGAUACCCCUGUA